GACGAACGCUGGCGGCGUGCCUAAUACAUGCAAGUUGAGCGCUGAAGGUUGGUACUUGUACCGACUGGAUGAGCAGCGAACGGGUGAGUAACGCGUGGGGAAUCUGCCUUUGAGCGGGGGACAACAUUUGGAAACGAAUCCUAAUACCGCAUAAAAACUUUAAACACAAGUUUUAAGUUUGAAAGAUGCAAUUGCAUCACUCAAAGAUGAUCCCGCGUUGUAUUAGCUAGUUGGUGAGGUAAAGGCUCACCAAGGCGAUGAUACAUAGCCGACCUGAGAGGGUGAUCGGCCACAUUGGGACUGAGACACGGCCCAAACUCCUACGGGAGGCAGCAGUAGGGAAUCUUCGGCAAUGGACGAAAGUCUGACCGAGCAACGCCGCGUGAGUGAAGAAGGGUUUCGGAUCGUAAAACUCUGUUGGUAGAGAAGAACGUUGGUGAGAGUGGAAAGCUCAUCAAGUGACGGUAACUACACAGAAAGGGACGGCUAACUACGUG
rnacentral:rRNA from 1 species